UCUACACACAAUCAUUUGCCUUUCUUCUCUGGAGAUACUGCAGACCAUCAAACCCACAACCUUUCCAGGGAGAUAAUACAGCAUUCUGGACGCCUACAAAUAAAUGACCACAUAAGGGGAUCCAAACAAGAACCUUUUGGCUGAGAGAUGAAAUCCCAGCCGAAAGUUUCCCCUUUCCAAAGCCAGACCGGGAUGGAUAGACGUCGCCGGGGCAACCAUGAGUGCUGUUAUGGGAUACAGGGCAACGAGUCCUUCCCAGACGGUUCACUGGGGGCGGAAACCCAACCUCGCCGUCUCAAGAAGUGUCGUUAUUUCAACAAAAAAUCGAUUCCUAUGAAGGGCACUCUGCUAGGGGAACAGCCAGACGAGGCAAAACAAGGCCACAGGGAACAUUUAAUUGUUUUAUGUUUGUGUGUGUUUGGAAGAAGUAAAAUUGGAAUUAAACGCAGAGAAUAAUAUCUACGAUGGAAUGCUGAC